rnacentral:tRNA from 6 species
GGCCCCUUAGCUCAGCUGGAUAGAGCACCUGCCUUCUAAGCAGGUUGUCGCAGGUUCGAAUCCUGCAGGGGUCGCCA